AGUGAACGCUGGCGGUAGGCCUAACACAUGCAAGUCGAACGGCAGCACAGUAAGAGCUUGCUCUUACGGGUGGCGAGUGGCGGACGGGUGAGGAAUACAUCGGAAUCUUCUUUUACGUGGGGGAUAACGUAGGGAAACUUACGCUAACACCGCAUACGAUCAACGGCAGAAAGCAGUGGAUCUUCGGACCUUGCGCGAUUGUAUGAGCCGAUGUCGGAUUAGCUAGUUGGCGGGGUAAAGGCCCACCAAGGCGACGAUACGUAGCUGGUCUGAGAGGAUGAUCAGCCACACUGGAACUGAGACACGGUCCAGACUCCUACGGGAGGCAGCAGUGGGGAAUCUUGGACAAUGGGCGCAAGCCUGAUCCAGCCAUACCGCGUGAGUGAAGAAGGCCUUCGGAUUGUAAAACCCUGUUGUUGGGAAAGAAAAGCAGCAGAUUUAUACCCCGCUGUUCUGACGGUACCCAAACAAUAAGCACCGGCUAACUUCGUG
rnacentral:rRNA from 1 species